AGGAAGGCUCUUGGGUCGUAAACCUCUUUUCUCAGGGAAGAACAAAAUGACGGUACCUGAGGAAUAAGCAUCGGCUAACUCCGUGCCAGCAGCCGCGGUAAUACGGAGGAUGCAAGCGUUAUCCGGAAUGAUUGGGCGUAAAGCGUCCGCAGGUGGCGAUGUAAGUCUGCUGUUAAAGAGUCUAGCUCAACUAGAUAAGAGCAGUGGAAACUACAUAGCUAGAGUACGUUCGGGGCAGAGGGAAUUCCUGGUGUAGCGGUGAAAUGCGUAGAGAUCAGGAAGAACACCAGUGGCGAAGGCGCUCUGCUAGGCCGUAACUGACACUGAGGGACGAAAGCUAGGGGAGCGAAUGGGAUUAGAUA
rnacentral:rRNA from 1 species